UUGCACACUAUCAGAGCAUUAGAAUCUGUGCAGUUACCAAGAAGUGGGUAGGCCCAGCAGGCUAUUAGUAAAAUCUAAGGGAGACCCCAGUACAAGGAAAAGGGUAGAGAAGGAAUCCUGAGUGAAGGAAUGCAGGACUCACUCCUCUUUGCUUAUUUAUGCUCUUGUGUGUGUGUUUUACCACAUUCCCUUUAAGUCAGUUAAGCCAAGGUUUCCUUGGCAACUAGAACAAGAAAGGCUCUGCUACCUGCAAUCAGCCCAGCAGGUAGCUCCUCGUGGAGACAUUCCUCAUGCAAAAGAAGUGUUGGUGCAGGUCUUCCUCCUCUUACUUCCUCCUCUGAUCUCAGUCUUGGUCACUCUGCAACAGAGACCUUCCCCUUGACCCUAGAGAAAGAGAAGCCACUUCAGCUGGUACACCUGAGUCCUAUUAACAUGGGGUGUACACAAAACCAGAAAACCCGAGUUGCUUCGAAUGGAACCAGACUUGAACCGAACCAGAUGGAGUGAUGCAGCAAGACAAAGACAAAGAUGAAAAUAAAGGCAAAGUCAAACCAAGGCAGAGCUACAGGACCUUGGAGAGUUCCAACCUGAUCCAAGGAAUCCGACUGAAAGAAUCUACAGUCCAACUGAAUCUCAGGUCCAGCCUUAUGGUUCCUGGUCCUCCCAAGGUCUACCACACCACUGCAGAUGGAGAUCUUUAAAGGGGCUGCCCCUAGGUCUGGAGCUGAGCACUCUAUCAUGUCCAGGUCCU